GUUCUGGAAAAAGAGGGUGUACGGCAACCCUACAUGAUCUGUCCCUUAACUGGAAUGGUGGGAGCAGCCCAAUGGCAAAGUGCAUGAUUUGCAUGCGGAAGGUCCCUGGCACCAGAACUUUAAAAGAUCAGGUAUAUAUUUUUAUUUAUUACAUUUUUAUACCGCCCUUCAUCGGUAGAUCUCACGGUAGUUCACAGCAUAAAAAUACAGCAGGUGAGGUGACAUAUCUGCCCAGGUUUCUAGACUGAGAGCCAAAACUUGCCCUGGCAAAGACGUAACCCAUGGGUAGGUAAACUAAGGCCCAGGGGCCGGAUCCGGCCCAAUCGCCUUCUAAAUCCGCCCCGUGGACGGUCCGGGAAUCGGUGUGUUUUUACAUGAGUAGAAUGUGUGCUUUUAUCUAAAAUGCAUCUCUGGGUUAUUUGUGGGGCAUAGGAAUUCAUUUGUUUUUUCUCUCCAAAAUAUAGUCUAGCCUCCCACAAGGUCUGAAGAAGAGUUUGGAUUUGAUAUCCCACUUUUAUCACUACCUGAAGGAGUCUCAAAGCGGCUAACAUUCUCCUUUCCCUUCCUCCCCCACAACAAACACUCUGUGAGGUGAGUGAGGCUGAGAGACUUCAGAGAAAUGUGACUAGCCCAAGGUCACCCAGCAGCUGCAUGUGGAGGAGCGGAGACGUGAACCCGGUUCCCCAGAUUACGAGUCUACUGCUCUUAACCACUACACCAUACACCGGCCCCCUGCUGAAAAAGUUUGCUGACCCCUGACAUAACCCAUGCCUACCAUAGGUAUAUGUAAUCAGGGUGUGAGGACUUCGUUUCUCAUGCUGGCGGCUGAGGAAGCCAGAUUAGCAUUGCCGCCUGCAUGCAGCUGUACAGGAUAAGAUGGUGAGAUUCUGAUUGGUGCAAGGUCAUUCAAGGAACUUCACAGCUGAGCUAAAGGAUCCAAACCUGCAUUUGCAAAACCUAAUGCCCUCUGGUAGCCAAUAAACCCUUGGGAGACCUUGCUUACAAGCUCGCAGUGCCCUCUGUUUCCCCAUCCCUUGUCAUCACAGAGCCCUCUGCCCCCUGCUCUUGUCCCAGCCUUACAACCUGGGCCUGCCUUUGCACACAUACUUCUGCACAGAGUCCACAUGAUCUGAGCCACCUCCUGCCACUGUGUUCCCAACUCCACUGGCUGUGGAUUCCCACUGGAUUUCUAUUUGCUUUCUUAUCCUAGGUCACUCAGUUUUUGCUACUUUGCUAGUAGUCUUGUGCUGAGCUGCCCUCCUUGCCCUCAGGCUUGAGUGCUCCUUCUCUCCUGCUCUUCUGUGCUCUGCUGGGGUUCAUUUUGUCUUGCAGGGGCUGCUUGAGUUUGGAGUCCCCUUGCUCUGGUCUGGCUUGACUGCACUUCCCCUCCUUCUGGGUGAUGUGAUCCUGCAGCGGGGGCUGCUCCUGUGAGGCUCUGCAACAAGAGUGCUGCAGGGUGACUCCUAGUGGCGUGAGACUGUAUUCCCCGUCUCACUUUCCCCAGCCCUGCAGCAGAGGGUGCAGGCAGGGAGCCAGGAGUGAAGGUUGUGAGAAGUGAUUUCCAGGUGUUGGCAUGGCAAGCCAUCGUAGUUCUCCGUCUCCACCAGGAGAGAAGAGACGGAGCAUGUCCACACAUCUGCUUGGGGCCUGCAAGUGUUCAGCAUCCAUUGCUGAAGCCUGGGUGACUGCUUGGGAAUGAAGCUUGGGAAGGAAAUGUCAGCAAUAGCAGUGUUUGUACCUGUGAUGAAGAAACAAACUUGAAGAGAAGAAGAAGAGUUUGGAUUUUAUAUCCUGCUUUAUCACUACCCGAAGGAGCCUCAAAGUGGCUAACAAUCUCCUUUCCCUUCCUCCCCCACAACAAACACUCUGUGAGGUGAGUGGGGCUGAGAGACUUCAAAGAAGUGUGACUGGCCCAAGGUCACCCAGCAGCUGCAUGUGGAGGAGCGGGGAAGCAAACCCGGUUCACCAGAUUACGAGUCUACCGCUCUUAACCACUACAGCACACUGGCUCUCAAAAGCUGGUGUUUUUUUUCACCAAGUGCCCAGUGUCCAUGCCCUUUCACAAUAGUGCCCUCUCCUGGCGCUCAAAGUCCCCAUAAGAAGUGUGUGUGGCACAGUUCCAUGCCAUGAGAGGUAUCAUGUGAUUUGUGGCUGGUGCAUUUGGGUUGAUAUCUUGCCAGUGCUUUCUGUUGAUUGGCCAUGGGGCUCUGCUGCAUAUGGAGAGAAAUCUCAUGCCAGCAUGGGUGUGACUAGCAAGUGGGAUGGCCCCCCAAUUUUCUCACAACGGCCCUAGUCUAUUGUUUCCUAUGAAGUGGGGCCCUGUGCAUCAUGUCUUUUGAUGGUAUAGAACACUGGUCUUCAACUGGUGCUUUGGGGCCCACAAGUGGGUUCAUGACCUGAUUCAAUGUGGGUCACAACAGGAGCACUAUCAACAUCCAGCUAUAUGGUUAAAUGUUAAGAAAUGGGUCUCCAAAUACAUGUUUGGGUUAAAAUGGGUUGUGGGUCUGAAAAGAUUGAAGAUGCUUAGUGCAUCUUCUAUAUAUGUGAUCUGAAGAGGGUUUGGAUGUGGUAGAUUGCAGGCUUCUUCCCAGUAUGUCCUGCCCCCAUCCCAGGUCAUCCCUUUUCUGGGAUGUGGCAGGUGUGGCUCUUAUGCACCAGCCUGUCUGUGCACAGGUGGAUGGGCCUCUGUUGAUGGCAGAGGGGGAUUUCUGAAUGAGCUCCCCUGUGGGACCUGUGGCACCAUGUCCUAAACUCCUUCAGCCCAGCCGAUAGGGAGUUUGUAUUGCACCAAAACUGAAAAUGACAUUAUAUGGCAAACUAUGGAGUGAUUUUUGAGAAGACUUCUCAUUUAAUAAGUCUGUCUAAUCUCAGGAGAUAGCAGGUUUCUAUUUUGCUUUGCACUUUUUUGGGGGGGGGCGUGUUUCAGAAUCUGUGGUGUCACUGGAUAAAUUGUAUAGCUUUUCAUGGAUGUUAAUAACUGCUGCUCAGUAGUGCUGGAUACAUAUAGCUGUGAAGCCUUGAGGACAAAAGCACACUCUUAUUAUUAACAAGCAUGAAUAAUAGCUGUGAAGAAAAAGCUUUCCUGUGUUUAGAACAACAAGGAAACAGGGUGUGAAAUAAUUAUCUAUGAUUUAUGUUAUAUUUAUAAACUUGUGGAGGGGGGAUGAGAUUGUGUUAACUCCUCUGGAGACAUUAGUCUCCCAACAAGAAUGCAGAUUGUCAUUCAGGCACAAAUCUGUGUCAUGUUAUUUGUACUGAUUGUGCUGUCUCCUUGGGAAUAGAUGUCCUUGCCCUUCACGCCUUACAUAAAAUUGUUGUCCACUCAAAACACUUAAGAUAAGGAGAAUUAUAACUGAGCAACCCUAUAUUCCAAUGACAGAGUGUGAGUGUGACAAUGUGAGGCGUGAGGACAUAUGCACCCAUAUCCUAUGUCCACUCAGCCCAGGAAGGAAGGGGGAAACACAGUGUCCUGAAAAUCUCAAAACACAAGAAUAUAUUAUUUGGUUUCUUGGUUUAUUUGUUUUAUCAUUACAUUUAUAUCCCACCCCUAGCUGUCAACUUUUCCCUUUUUUAAAGGGAAACUCCCUUAUUCCGAAUAGGAUUCCUCGCAAGAAAAGGGAAAAGUUGGCAGCUAUGAUUCCACCUUUCACCCAAAGAGCUCAAAGUGGCGUACAUGGUUCUCCGUCUUCCUGUUUUAUCCUCACAACCCUGAGAGGUAUGUUAGGCUAAGAGACUGUGACUGGUCCAGGCUGCAUGUUUGAGUGAGGAUUUGAAUGCUAGCAUCUCCCAAGUCUCAGUGCUACACCACACUGGCAACACACCACAAAUGGCAAUCAUGUGUCUGGCAUCCAUGGAAGCAAAUUAAAGGUGUACGACGCAAAGGAAAAACGAGAGUGGCAGGAAGUGCAAAAGGGAAGAGGAAAGGUGUGUGACAUAGCAUUAAUUUUCCUAAUGAUAAAAUAAUUCUAAGUAUUAAAGUUGUGUUAAUUAGCUUAAUCUCAGUGUAAUCUGAAAAUCUCACAGUCAAAUAUACCAAUCCUAGAUAAAGUUGAGACAAUGAAAAUAAAAAUAAAAUGUCUGUGUAUGCUACACACUGGAAAAUUUUCUGGCUCCACUGGGAUAAAAGAAACACUCAGUACUUUGCUAGUUGGAUAUAUAUCCUUAUUUUAUUGUGGUCUCUUGUUCAGUGAAAUUUCUUAUGUGAUUUUCACACUGUAGAAUCCUGAACCUCUGUUGCAGAAAUGCUGCCACAAGAUGGCAGUACAUCACACCAUUAAUAAGAUAUUUUGUAUGGGUUUCUCUCUUACAAACCUGUCAACUGUGAAUGACAAACAUAUUUAAAAUUUAGCGAGAGCGUAGGUUUGUGGGUCAUAAAAUCUUCUUGGCAUGGUUUGGACCAACUCAUGUGCCAAAACAGUGUCACAAAAUAUGAUACUACUCCAUUGAAAGAGGGUUGUUCUUGUUUGCAGUCAGAGAUGCUACGUGUUUAGUAAUGGGCUGUAAUCAAUGUAAGCCAGUUAAUGAAACUAUUUAGCCAAAUUCUGCAUUUAAAAGCCAAGGGAAAAACCUAGCCAAAGAUUUCAGCAGGCAUCAAAAAUAGUACACAGUGCACAUCUGUGUAUUAUAUCAGGGCUAUUUAUUUAAAUUCUACUAUAUCCUUUAGCUGCUUCCUUUCUGGAAUGUCUCUGUGUGCAUUGUUACAGAUAUAAAGCCUGCUAUAUUAUUUCACACCGGGGCCACCAUUUGAAUGAAAAGCUAUGCAGGGUAACUAUAUAUAUAGAGAGAGAGAGAGAGAGAGAGAGGCAAAUCAAGUGAUAACUAGCAUGACUUCAUUUUCCAUUGAAUGGCAAUGUUAUUUGGGAUGGGGGGGAGACACAAGAGGGUUGGUUAGUGCAGAUUCAUACAACUUCUUUCACACAACCACAAAAUGGCCACUGAGGGAGGGGAAUUCUACUUAAGGGGUUAAAUAUACAACUGAAUACCCCACAGACUUUGGAUGCAAAGAUGUAUUUAAGGUUGUGUAUAAUUCCCCUUGAUGACUGCUUAGUGUGUGUGUUUAUGUUGGAGGCGAGGUUUGAAUUAAGGAAUCUCAUUGCCCCCAGACAGCAUGCUGAACCAUUUCUACAAGUAGUCAGAUUGUAGCAGUGUCAGGUUGCUACAUCACUUUCUCUGGAGCUCUUGUUAGAUUAAUUGUAAAACAGGAAGUGGAACUCAGAUCAGUCAUGAAAAAACUUUAAAUGAGUUUGGUCCUAUUUUCUGAUUAAUUGUCAUGGAUAUAAGUGAAACUCUAAACUACCGUGUAGCUUCUUAUUUACAUUUCCCCAAGAUAACCUUUGUUUGGCUGAUGUGAAAAGAAAGCUUUUCUUUUUGAAAAAAUGCCAAGGAGGAUGUUGCAAUAAAGCAAAUAAUGUUUCCUGCUUAUGUCAAUAUCUCUGGAUCUUAUUGCGUCAGAUGGGAACAUUUUGGAUUAUCUUCUUGCAUGAAGAACAUGGCCCUAUGGCAUGGGUAGGCAAACUAAGGCCUGGGGGUCGGAUCCAGCCCAAUCGCCUUCUAAAUUCGACCCGCAGACGGUCUGGGAAUCAGUGUGUUUUUACAUGAGUAGAAUGUGUCCUUUUAUUUAAAAUGCAUCUAUGGGUUAUUUUUGG
rnacentral:lncRNA from 1 species